GACAGUAGCGUCGCUCUGCGCCUCCUCCACGCCGCCGGCCACUCCUGCAUCGCCUUUUACCUCAAGAUUUGGUUCCAAGAAGAUUUCAAAAACUUUUGGUCGGAGUGUCCAUGGGAAGAGGAUUUGAAGUUUGCCAAAGCUGUUUGUAGUCAGAUUGAAGUGCCACUUGAAGAGCACGAAACAAUUCCACAACUCGAAGAUAAGUUUUUCUUGGUAUACAAGAAGGUCAAGUCACUAACUAGGAAGCUAAAGACCACAUACAAGGCAUCAAGGCCUAACUUGUUUAUGUAACUUGGUCAUUUGACGAUCAAGCUUUUAAGAGAAGUUAAAGUGAG